rnacentral:tRNA from 1 species
GCAUUGGUGGUUCAGUGGUAGAAUUCUCACUUUCCAUGUGGGAGGCCUAGGUUUAAUCCCCGGCCAAGGCA